UACGUAGGGGGCGAGCGUUGUCCGGAAUUAUUGGGCGUAAAGAGCUCGUAGGCGGUCGUUUAAGUCGGGUGUGAAAUCUCAGGGCUCAACUCUGAAACUGCACCCGAUACUGGAUGACUUGAGGCAGGUAGGGGAGAUCGGAAUUCCUGGUGUAGCGGUGAAAUGCGCAGAUAUCAGGAGGAACACCGGUGGCGAAGGCGGAUCUCUGGGCCUGUUCUGACGCUGAGGAGCGAAAGCGUGGGGAGCAAACAGGAUUAGAAACCCCAGUAGUCC
rnacentral:rRNA from 1 species